UGGGGCGGCAGGUAGCCUAGUGGGGGGCAGGUAGCCUAGCGGGGUGGCAGGUAGCCUAGUGAUAGCAGCAGGUAGCCUAGCGGGGCGGCAGGUAGCCUAGCGGGGCGGCAGGUAGCCUAGCGGGGCGGCAGGUAGCCUAGCGGGGCGGCAGGUAGCCUAGUGAUAGCAGCAGGUAGCCUAGUGGGGCAGCAGGUAGCCUAGUGAUAGCAGCAGGUAGCCUAGUGGGGCAGCAGGUAGCCUAGUGGUUAGAGCGUUGGACUAGUAACCGAAAGGUUGCUAGAUCGAAUCCCCGAGCUGACAAGGUAAAAAUCUGUUGCUCUGACCCUGAACAAGGCAGUUAACCCACUGUUCCUAGGACCUCAUUGUAAAUAAGAGUAUGUUCUUUAACUGACUUGCCUAGUUAAAUAAAAGGUUAAAUAAAAAAUAAAUAGCACCGCCUAUUGGUUAGAUGAGCCCGCAUCAUUUAUCACUCCCCUCAAAAAUCUGAACUAACUCUCGGUUAGUUUAACAUUUUCAGAUCUAACACCUACUGUAUGAGUAUUCCAACAACAAUAACAGUAACCAUUCUCAUGGUAACUAACUGUUAAGUAAUCUCUUCACUUAGCAUCAAUAACAUAACCUUCCAGUGUGUUUCUUAUCAACUGAACAACUGAUUCAAUAAUUGAAUUGUCAUUUCACAUUUGUUUAUUGGAAGCAAGGGUAGACUACCUUACUUCCUAAAGGAGACAAGGGCACGUUCCAGCCCAUGAGAAACAAAUAUCUCCUUUACUUUCCAAACACUCCAAAAUGGGGCUGGAGGUUUCCUAACUCUUUGAGAGCAUCGCAAUUCCCCUCUAGGUGAACGUUUGUUGGAUUCCUUAACUUCUUCAGGCUGCAGGGUGAAUAUUGAAAAAACUGGAAAAUAUGUGCACAUUUUCAAACGGCCUCUUAAGAAACUUUUUAUUUUACAAUAUGCAUAUAUUUACUACUGUUGGAUAGAUAACAGUCUAUAGUUUCUAAAAAGGUUUGAAUUAUUUCUCUAAGUCGAACAGAAAUAUUUUUACAGCCAUUUUCCCAGCCGAAUUGAGAUUUCCAAAAUGCGAUGUGUCUCUUUAAGACCUUGUCUAUAAAAGGUCAUUACACUUAGGACCGUAGAAACACGUCAUACGCCUUCAUCAGGGUGUAAUGCGGAAGUGAGAAUUGAAAGGAGUCGAAUAUCUCGUCCAUGGACUGAAUACCACACCUUCUUGUGAGACCUGCGCAGUUAAAAAAAAUUUCGGGCUCGAAGCAGAAUUUGGUCUCGGCUACUGGAAGAAGGUCGAUAACGGUGAAUAUGAUCUCUGACUUCGAUAUUAUUUGAUACAUGUCACAAAAUCAUCCUAAAGUAUGUUUUUUCAAUAUACUUUAAUUAUAUUAUUGCAAUUUAUUCUGGACUUUAGACGUGAUGUUUUGGAAGAAUGUUUUGAAGACAGAAAGUUUAGCGCCGCAUAGCCGUGGUGCUUGCUAACCAAAGAGGGAAAUAUUUUGUUCUGGAACCCAACUAAAGACUGUACUGGACAUUGGACCCCGUUACAACAUUCUGAUGGAAUAUCAACAAAGACAAGGACCCAAUUUGGGAUGCUUUUUCAUAUAUCUGUCGAACUGUUGUAUGCUAACUUUGCUAACUGUGCUAGGCUAGCGCUUGACUAGAAUCAAUGCUGCCUUAUGCUAGCUUAUGUUGUUAGCUAAUAUAACGAUAUAUUGUGUUUUCGCUGUAAAACACUUCAAAAAUCGGAAAUAUUGGCUUUAUUCACACGAUAUCUGUCUUUCAUUAGCUAUCCACCAUAUGUUUUUCUGAAAUGUUUUAUGAGGUGUAAUUAGUAGUCGACGUUGGUGUAUGUAUUUUCUCUGGCUACUCCCGUCUGGAUUCAGACUGUAGCUAUGUGGUAGCAUUUAUGGUAGCAUCAAUGUAAAACUGAUUUAUAGCUAAAAUAUGCACUUUUUAUGAACAAAACAUAGAUUUAUUGUGUAACAUGUUAUAUGACUGUCAUCUGAGGUAGUUUUUUCUGGGUUCUUUAGGUUGGUUUUAGUUUAUUUCGGUUGGCUUGUGCAUGCUACUUGAAUCAUAAUUCAUACAUCAUAAUCAUAUUCAUACGUGUCUGUCCACUUUUGUAUUUGGUGGUGAGCUAACAUAAAUAUAUGUGGUGUUUUCUCUGUAAAACAUUUUAAAAAUCGGACAUGUUGGCUGGAUUGACAAGAUGUUUAUCUUUCAAAUGCUGUAUUGGACUUGUUAAUGUGUGAAAGUUAAAUAUUUAAAAAAAAAUAGAUUUUGAAUUUCGCGCCCUGCAGCUGUUGUCAUUUUCGUUCCGACGUCGGGCUUGAGCCCAAACAGGUUUUAACAAGUGCAUUCUCCGUUGGUGGCCGUGGAGUACCUGUUUCCCGUGGUAACUCCUCGCCUGCUGGACUGAGUUCUGUGUUGCAUGUCACUGGCUCUGCGUAAUCUGUUUCCUGUCUGCUGAACAGCUGAUCAACGUGCCUACGUGCUCCUCUACCAUCCCCCACUAGCACAGUGUACGACACAGGCCCUGUGAUUUCUUGAACCAACCCUGGUAUCCAUUUAGGUCCAUACUCAAAGUUCUGGCUAUACAGUUGAGUCUCUGACUACAAAACUGCAAGCUUUUGCAUGUUUGUCAUGGUAAGUUUUCUGUCCUGCUUGCUUAGCCUGCACCUUACUCUUUAGGUCUGGGUGUAUCAAGUCUAAGGUGCACCUCAAAUUCCUCUCCGUCAUCAUCUCAGCCGGUGAAAGUCCGGUGGUUGACUGUGGCGUGACACGAUAGCUAAACAACACUCAGCUCAGUUUCUUCUCCAACGAGUUGCCUGCUCUCUUUUUCAUUAGCUCUUUGAACAUCUGAGCGUUUCUCUCUACCAAACCAUUCGGGGGAGGAUGGUGUGGUGUCCAAGGGACGUGUGUGAUUCCAUUCUUUGUCAUGAGCUCCUUAUUGUUCUCACACACAAAACACUGAGCUGUUGUCUGAAACAAUCAUCUCUGGAAUGCCAUUGAAUACUGAAACUGUUCCUGUGAGACACUCCACGGUAGCAGCAGAUGUAGCUGAGCUCAUUGGAUAUACAAUCGAGCCAUUUUGAGUGAGCGUCUACUAUUACAACAAAAACAUCUUCCCCGUGAAACGACCCUGCAUAGUCUAUGUGUAGCCUUCUCCAGGUCUUACUGGGCGCUCCCAUGGAUGGAGUGGUGCACUAGCAGGUGUUUUCCUUUGCUCUUGACAUGUGGUGCUUGACUUGACCUUCCUUUCAAUGUCAGAGUCCAUAUUAGACCUCCACGUGUAGCUCCUGGUCAUGCCUGGAUGACUCUGAUGUAGCUACUCCAUCAUUGCUGUGUGUCCUCUCUGGAACGAUGACACAGUGCUCCCCACAGCACACAGCCGUCCUGGACAAUGAGCUCGUGCCGUCUCUGUUUGUAUUGAGCAAACUCGGGUCCCACAUUGUGAUCUGGCCACCUCCUCAAGUCACGGACCCUCGAUAGGACUGGAUCAUUCACUGUCCAGCUCUGGAUUAGCUGGGAGGUCAUCAGUGGGCUGUUCUCCUGGUCCAACAUCAGCACUCGUUCCCCUGGAGGCAGACUGAUUGGAUAGUCUGGGAGAGGGAGGCAGCUGAGAGCAUCUGCAUUACCAUUGUCCUUGCCUGCUCUGUAAGUAAUAACAUACUCAUACGCUCGUAGUGUUACUUCCCACCUCAUUAUUCUAGGAGAUGCCAUCUAUGGCACUGCUUUCAUUACAUUCAACUGACUGAUAAGAAGGCUUAUGGUCUGAAACUGAAACUGAAGCUCUCGUGCAACGAUGUGUACUACUCCCUUUACAGAACAGUGCAAACUGGCUCUAACCAGAAUAGAAAGAGUGGGAGGCCCCGGUGCACAACUGAGCAAGAGGACAAGUACAUUGGAGUGUCUAGUUUGAGAAACAGACGCUUCACAAGUCCUCAACUGGCAGCUUCAUUAAAUUGUACCCGCAAAACACCAGUCUCGACAUCAACAGUGAAGAGGCGACUCUGGGAGGCUGGCCUUCUGGGCAUCCUAACUGGCUUCACUGUCUCCUGUUUUUGGUGCCAACCUCAGUAACUGGCUUCACUGCCUCCUGUUAUUGGUGCCAGCCUCAGUAACUGGCUUCACUGUCUCCUCUUCGAAGUGGAAUGAAAAUAGACACCCAGGCCUGCUAGUCACAGUACUGAAAACAGAAUAAUAUAAUGUACAGCAAGUCAGUGGUUCCCAACCAGGGAUUGGUACCUUAAGUACCCCUUGUGGAUAGGCUAAGAAGACUCAUGAGACCAUAGGCUUAGUGGUAAAAUGCACAUUAGUGGGUAGUUCAGGGGUACUCCAGGCAGAGUAAAAUUCAGUUGGCGGUUCAGUAAACGAAAGAGAUUGCAGUAACACAUACACAGUGCAAGUAGUGUGCCUCCUGACUUGUUGACAGUUGAAGGUCUAAGAAUAAGGGAAGUAUUUUACAGUAUCCAGCUAGCACAUUUGGUUCCUUGGAAUUUGUGGGAAUGUAUGUUUUUUGGUUUCACAUUGGUUGUGGAAACGAAGCCAUACGUUUCCUGACUAGUAAAACGUAAUAGGUUGCAUGGAAGUUCUGACAACGUUUUGCUCUGGUUCCUUCAAAAGUUUUCCUGGGAGGUUUUAUUAACGCUCUGACAACGUUCUGACAACGGAAAUUAAAGCUUUUUGAAUAACUUAAAACUUUCACUGAAUGAUUCAAUAAGACUUUUAAUAACACUGCUAACUUAUUUUGGGUUAAUGUUCUAACUCCAAGCACAGAUGGGACACAUGGAAAUGCAUUUCCUUAGACAUGAAUCAUGCAAACACAUUUAGUUUUCAUCAGUGAGAUUUCAAACCUAUUAUCUUAUUUUUUUCUCUCCAUGGAAUUAGUCCACUGCGUCACCAGGAUGGAGCAUACAAAGAAUAUACUUUUAGUCUAUUCAAACAGACCCCAUUUCAAAGGAAACAAACGCUCUUUAAGAUCAGGUGUAGCCAAUUUGUGGACGCGGCCAACACACCUGAACACACUUAACAACGUAGAGGACAGAGAGAGCUCUCCUGAACAUUGCUAAAGUUGUAUUGUGAUUUUUAUGGAAAGUUAUAACGUUCUCCGGAAACACUUUGAGAACUUGACUUCAAAUAGAACCAUGAGGAAACCUGUAGGAAACGUUAUGCUGCAGUCCUGAAAUUCCCACAGGUUUCAAUAUUUUCUUUUUAAAUGCACUAUACUUUGCGUGGGUUGAAUGCUGUAACAACAAAAAAUUAAACAAGUCCCAUGAUGGUGGCAACCGCUUAUCACUUAAUCAUCCUUUAUUCACUUUACUUUAGUAAAACAUUUCAUAUGUUGUGUAGGAGGAAGGAACAUGUCUUAAAACGUACUCUGAACUAUUUGAGAACAUUGCCAAACCAUUUGGAGAACGUUCCUAGAACAUUACCAAAAUUGAAAUGAAACCGAACCAUUUUUGAACUUUUAGGUAACCUUGUUUAGUUAUGAAAUGCCCAAGAACAUAAAAUGUUUGUCAAGUUACUUAAAUGUGCUGAGAAUGUUCCAAAGCCAAGCAACUAUCCGGCAUCAUUCCCAGAAAGUUGUCAGAAGGUUGCAUGCAAAAUUACCAUAAGACUCUCUCACCACGCUGUAAGAAACACAAAAGGUUCUCUGAACGUUAUGUGCUAGCUGGGUAGGAAUUUGACUGGCCCAGUCUCCUUCCCUUUGCUCCAACAGAAGGGUUGAGUGGAAAUUGUAGACAGAACAUGUGACUGGUACUGGGAACAGCUACCUAUGAAGAAGCUACAGUUCUUAUUGGUCUUUUCCACCGGUUAGCUCCCCACUCACUACUCCAAGAUCCCCUACGGCAAGACAGCUACAGUACAAAAGACAACCUGCCCACUGCCACCCACGUACAUACAUACUGGAAGCUCUGUCUAUACACACAUAUGGUUUUUAUUAAAGCACAUAGUCACAAAGCUGCUUACCCGGAUAUAUUGCUGAAUUACAAAACAGCACACACUCAAACAGUGCCCAGUGAAAGUCUACACACCCCUUCACACAGCUUUUCACAUUUUGCUGCCUUUGAAUUGGAUUGUUUCCUACAGAUCUACACAUUUUCACAGUGAAAUAUAUAUAUUUUUAUAUAGAACAUUUAAUAAAUACAAUGUAAUAAAACAAUUAGAAAAAACAAAUGA